GGCUCAAUGGUCUAGUCGCAUGAUUCGCGCUUCGGGUCUCCCCUUACAAGAAUAACUUGUGAGAACGGUUGCGCGAGGUCCCGGGUUCAAUUCCCGGUUGAGCCC